AUUCCUUUGUCUCCGCUGGACUCGGGGUACCCGCUGGGUGGUAUGGGACUCGUUUCCCCAACAGUUACUACAUACUUAAAGAAAAAACUCCCAUACUUAAACUCCUGCACCUUUGGAUUUCUUAUGAGAAAAAUGAGGCUCUGAGAGCCUAAAUUACGUGCUCCUGGCACAGAACUCCUAAGUAUGUGAGAUGAGAUUCUAAUGCACAUCUGUAUUAAAGAAUCCUGGACUGCAAAGUGGCUGCAUGGAGGUCAGGCACUCUGGAAAGCCUCCUAGUCCCCAAACAGACUUGUUUGAAUAAAAGGCAUUGGAAAGGAAAAGGACCUACUUCAAGUACUCCAUCUCAGAAAGGAACCAAAUCACUUCUUAUGUUCUACUGUUCACAGAUGCCGGCCCCAUGGCACAAGCAGGUAACAAAAAAAGAGGACUGUGAGUUCUGCCACAACUGGCUCGAUUGCUGCCACAGCCUCUGAAGAAUGCCUUGACCUCCACUUACCUCUCAAAUCUCAGAUGAACUGAUUUCACUUACACAGCCUCAAUUUCAUUCAUAUUCCUAGAUCCAAGAGAGUCUAGGAAAUGUAGAUUUUAGUCUUUUAGUGUUUCUGACUUAGAACAUGGAAGGGCUAAGUGGCUAUCAUUGCUAAACCCCAAUUGGCAACAAUUAGUCCAAUUAAAUUUCUUUUUUGGCUCCCUCACUUUUUUUUUUGGUCUUUCUGGCAGUUGAAGAGAGAGAGUUUCUUUGUUUGUUUGUUUGUCUGAGACAGAGUCUCACUCUGUCAUCCAGGCUGGAGUGCAGUGGUGCGAUCUCGGCUCACUGCAACGUCCGCCUCCCGGGUUCAAGCAAUUCUCUGCCUCAGCCUCCCAAGUAGCUGGGAUUACAGGUGUCCACCACCAUGCCUGGCUAAUUUUUGUAUUUUUAGUAGAGAUGGGGUUUCACCAUCUUGGCCAGGCUUGUCUUGAACUCCUGACCUUGUGAUCCACCCACCUCGGCCUCCCAAAGUGCUGGGAUUACAGACAUGAGCCACCAUGCCCA